CACGGCUCAGUAAAACGUGGACAACCUGCCCUCGGGUGGGGGAUAACCCCGGGAAACUGGGGCUAAUACCCCAUAGGUGAUGGGUGCUGGAAUGCCCCAUCACCGAAAGCUCCGGCGCCCGAGGAUGGGUCUACGGCGGAUUAGGUUGUUGGCGGGGUAACGGCCCGCCAAGCCGAAGAUCCGUACGGGCCAUGAGAGUGGGAGCCCGGAGAUGGACCCUGAGACACGGGUCCAGGCCCUACGGGGCGCAGCAGGCGCGAAACCUUUACAAUGCGGGAAACCGUGAUAAGGGGACCCCGAGUGCCCCUGCCACGCAGGGGCUGUCCGGGUGUGUAAAAAGCACCCGACAGCAAGGGCUGGGCAAGACCGGUGCCAGCCGCCGCGGUAACACCGGCAGCCCGAGUGGUGGCCACUAUUAUUGGGUCUAAAGCGUCCGUAGCCGGCCUAGUAAGUCUCUCGGGAAAUCCGGCGGCUUAACCGUCGGGCGUCCGAGAGAUACUGCUAGGCUUGGGACCGGGAGAGGCCGAGGGUACUCCCGGGGUAGGGGUGAAAUCCUGUAAUCCCGGGAGGACCACCGGUGGCGAAGGCGCUCGGCUGGAA
rnacentral:rRNA from 1 species